AGGAUCUCGAGUUGACUCCAACAAAAUUGAGUCAACUCGUCAAGCACUCGAGUCGACCCAAUUAAGAAUUGAAUUAAAUCCAUAGGCAUACCAAUCAUAGUUUCAUGGUUUCAUACAAACAGAACCUGGGGUUUUAGAUCUAGGGUUUUGCAGAAUUAAGUUUUAGAUCGUGUGUCAAACAAUAUAUCAAAUAUAAUAUUUUAUCAAUCU
rnacentral:lncRNA from 1 species